GACUUACCGUGCACAUCUUUCUGUGCAAUAUCGUAUUUGUGCGAGCGAAGAAGAACUGAAAGUUGUUUCAGAUCGUCAUGAAAAACACAUUCAUGGAGCGGGAAAGAGUGGUUGGUCGUCAUUUUAGAUACAAUGGAAUCAUACUAUCCUGCGAAUACACACGAAGAAAUUAUCUGGCGGAUGACAAGAUAUUAAUAAAUAGCUGAAAAAUGAAAAAUGUCCAAGACUCUGAAAUGACGGGCCCCGAAUUCCGCAAUGUCAACAUUUGUGAUAUUUACGUAGCAUUGCGCAAGCGCAUAAACUUCAGAGUGCGUUGAACUGCAGAAUUACGGGAAAAUCCCUACGGUCGAGUCAAUUUGGAUUACUGAAGCCCCCGGCCCAUUUCAUAUUAAAACUUGUUACACAAAUAACAAAUUUGUACUAACAAGUAACAGUUGCAGCUACUAAAAUCAUUCAUGCCGUUAAAAUAACAAUCAGAGACCAGCUGAAGCUAGAAAGAUAACUUGUCAUUGACAUUGGUUGAUGUGAUGAAUAGAUGAGGGGAUGACUUCCACCAGCGGAAACCCGAGGUAUUUCGUCGGGGUAGAUGUGGGGACUUCGAGCGUCAGGGCUACGCUCGUAAGCGAAAAUGGUCGCGUUGUUAAUGUGGCCGUGGAACCAAUCAGUAUUUGGAAUCCCUGCGAAAGUUUCUAUGAGCAGUCAUCAGAUGGUAUCUGGAGAGCAUGUUGCAAAACAGUAAAGGAUGUGACCUCAGAUGGCCUUUCCGAAAUGGUCCAAGGCAUUGGCUUUGAUGCUACAUGUUCUUUGGUGGUGCUUGACAAGGAUCUGCGGCCAUUGUCUGUAAGUCAUUCAGGUGACAAUGAGAGAAACAUCAUUAUGUGGAUGGAUCAUCGUGCUGUGAAAGAAGCUGAAAGAAUCAACAAGACGGGACAUGAAGCACUGCGCUUCACCGGAGGAGAGAUUUCCCCAGAGAUGGAACCUCCAAAAUUGCUUUGGUUGAAAGAGAAUAUGUUUGAGACAUGUUGGCAGAAUGCUGGAGCAUUCAUGGAUCUAGCUGACUUCAUGACGUGGAAAGCCACAGGAUCACAAACAAGAUCUCUCUGCACUGUGGUUUGUAAAUGGAUGUUUCGAGCAGACGGCAAGGGACUCAGAGAGUGGGACAUGUCUUUCUAUGAGAGUAUCGGCCUCAAAGAUAUCCUAGAAGAUGAACAACAGAAAAUUGGAAACCAUUUCCAGCUUCCUGGCGAACCGUGUGGAGAUGGUCUUAGUCUUGCCGCUGCUAAGGAGCUUGGUCUUAGACCUGGACUACCCGUAGGAACAGGAAUAAUUGAUGCCUAUGCAGGUGGAAUCGGAAUGUUGGGUGCAGAUGUGACUGGUUUAAAGCUUCCAUGUGAAAGUCAACCUUUGACCUCCAGACUAGCUCUCAUAUGUGGGACAUCAACAUGUCACUUGGGUCUAAGUGAGAAAGAGACCUUUGUACCUGGUGUCUGGGGUCCUUACUACAGUACAAUGGUACCGGGUCUGUGGGGGAAUGAAGGAGGGGAGACCUGCACUGGCAAGCUUAUCGAUCAUAUCAUUCACACUCAUCCAGCUCUGAAUCUGCUUAAAGAAGAGAGUCAAAAGAGUGGCUGUGAUAUGUACACAUGGUUAGAUGACCGGUUGAUGACCAUGGCCAAAGAUAAAGGACUCUCUUCUCCAGCUGUUCUGACCAGGGAUCUCCAUCUUUGUCCAUAUUUUUAUGGAAACAGAUCACCUCUUGCUGACCCCACUUUGAAAGGAAUGAUAAGCGGUUUGACAUUGUCCUCUACCCUUGAUGAUCUAGCUCUUCUCUAUUUAGCCACUCUGCAGGCAUUAGCUCAUGGAACACGUUUGAUAGUUGAACAAAUGGUCAGGUCUGGUUACAGUAUAUCAACUCUGUUUGCAUGUGGAGGUCUGUGUAAGAGUGAUUUAUUCUUACAGACGCAUGCAGAUAUCACCGGUCUACCAAUAGUCUUGCCUAAAGAAUCUGAGUCAGUCUUAGUUGGAGCAGCCAUCUUAGGAGCAAAGGCUUCUGGGAUAUUUGAUCUCAAGGGCGCAAUGAGCCGCAUGUGUGGUGUCGGUAAAGUCAUCUGGCCUGAUGAACAACAGAGGGCGUAUUACAACAAAAAACACAAUGUAUUCUUGAAACUUGUUGACCAUCAGAGGGAGUAUAAACAUAUCAUGGAACAGCCCUGAUCUCCGUAAUAAUUCAAAUACUGCCAAACAUUGUGUGACAAAGUUGAGCUGUACUUUAUAAGUAAAAUAAAAAUUUGAUGGGAUAUGAGGCCCUUUGUGAUGUCAUCAUGUUAUUGAUCACCUGGACCCCAUUUUCCCAAGAGUUGUGAUUAAUCUGGGGCCUGUCGUACAAAGAGUUGCGAUUGAUCCGAUCAAUCACUAUGGAAAGCCAGCAAAGUCAACAUAUAAAAUGCAUUUUUGUUCAAAAACAUUUCUAGAUAUGAUGUAUAUUCAUAAAUUCAUUGAUUUCUUGACAAUUUGGUGUGUUCUCCUUUGUAUACAAAGGACAUUUUGCAAAUUUCCUGUCGAAAAAAUUAUGACACUGAUGGAUUUCCAUAGAGAUACGAAUGAUUGGAUAAAUCGUAACUCUUUGUAAGACGGGCCCAGCUGAUCAAUCACAACUAUGGAUGUCCAGUAACGUCUACAUCUAAAAUGCAAAUUUUUUUUCAAAGUAUUAUCUAGAUAUGAUGUAUACAAUCAUCAUUCUCUUGAAGAUUCAGUGUGAUUCUCUUUGUUUACUGAGGAUAUUGUGCAAAUUUCCUGUAGAAAAAAAAUUAUGUAUACAGUUGAGUUGAUUGGAUCAAUCGUAACUCUUUGUAAGACGGGACCCAGUAGUGAUUGGAAACAUAUUUUGCCUUUUCUGGGGUUAUGUUGCAUUUUGUUGUUCUUCCUUAGAACAAAAGUAUUCCCCUUUUUUUGAACACUAAUAAAUUAAAAGACAAGCUCUUUGCAUUAAUUCUCCUCAGUAAUCAUGAUCAGGAUGUGCCUAAUUGGUGUCACAACUUUGGAGCUAAUUUAAUUAACCCCUUAUUAAGGAUAAUUUUAAUGAUAUCUAAUCCUCUUAUUGUCACCUCUGCACAAUAUAGUAUAGUGUGAGGGUAAGUGAGCAUCAGUAGACUUUGUAUUCUAAUCUCUGUUUCUCAAAACCAACAUUCUCUGAUAGUUGGUUUUCUUCUCUUUGUAAUGAGUGUUAGGAUCAUCUAUUAGUUGAGUGUUAUAUAUCAUUUUAAAGCUGAGAAUCUCCUCUUUCAUUAGGGAUAUUUAACUAAAAAUUCAUUUCUUGCAACUUUUUGUGGGUUUGCCCAUGCCUCAACAUAUGUGUUUUAUAUCUUGCCUCCAAAAUACCUCAUGCAGGUAAUAAUUCUUAAUAGUAAAUUGAUAAUUGAUCACAACUCGCGUUUGACCAUGUUUGUCCUGUCGAUGUGAAUUUGCAAUAAUGUUUGAAUGGCAUGUUCUUAAUGAUAAUAAAUAUUAUCAUUAGGAACAUAUAUAUAAAUACAAUAUUGUAUUUAUAUAGCGCUUAAUAUCAAGAUCUCUAAGCACUUUACAUUAUUAGUUAGAAGAAUUAUUAAAUUACAAUUAUUUUACAUUCUACAUUAUUCACAACUGGUGAUAACCGGGCUGGGCUUAGAUUAUCCAUAAUACAGUGCGCUUGUAAGUGAAUUAUGAAGUGAAUGUAUUGUAUGACAAUGCAGAGAUGCUAAGCAUCAAUAUUUUGCAUAUUUUUUUUUUUUUUUUUUGGGGGGGCUCUAAAUAAUCUGUUCAGUUUUGGGCAUAUUUUCCCCCUAUUUUGCUAUGAAUAAGGCCAUUUGAUUUUGUGUGUUUUGUUACUUACCAAAAAUUCAGACCAGGGGUCCGUUUCAUAAAGCAGAACUGCAACUGUUGUAACUUUUUGCCAUUAUGGCAAAGUUACAAGAGUUGCAAGUCCUUUAUGAAACAGGCCCCAGAUGUGUAGAUCGCUGUGGCCCUGUACUGCAUCCUUUUGAUGUGUCAUCUGACAGUUAGCGGCUGGCGAUCAUUGCAGUGUGGAAUGGACUGAACAAUGUGCAUUCAUGUAGGAAAAAGAUAAAAGUCAAAUGUAAAAAAAAAAAAACAUCAACAACUUACUCAUACCAGAGAAUGCAAUGUGGAAUGUAUCAUUGUUUUAAUCAAAGCAUCAAAUACAUAAACUUGUUGAUGCAGUGGUUGAUCCAAGAUUUUCAAAUAGAGGGGCACAAAUACCAAAUUUUGAAAUAGAAGGGGUGCAGAUGAUAAUUUUAUUAGAUUUAGCUAUAUUAAUUAGUAUGUUCAAUGGUCAAUUCAAAAAAUAUAGAGGAGGCGUGUGCCAAUUGCACCUCCGUCUCGAUCCGACACUGUUGAUAGAGUCCACUGGCCAGAAAUCUGCAAGUUUUGAUUAUAAUUGGGGAUGGGCUGCUUCCAAAGUUUGUUUCAGAACUUCUAACGAUGGCCCUUAAAGGGUAAGGUAGUGUUUUAUCAUGCAUAGUUACUUUUAUUGUUUUGUGUGGUCAAAUGUUUGAGGGACGGAGGGGGUGUUGUGAUCGUGAUCCACUUUUUACUUUUUGUGAUAUAUUAAUGUGAUUUUAUAUCUUUAUCAUAUAUUGGUUUAAAGUUUCAUCAAUUAUGAUACCAUGAAUAUUUUAUAUACACUGUUUUAUAUCUAAUGUACAUUAAAUGAUUCAGUAUUUGCCAUAGAUAUGAUGAAUAAAUCAGUUUAAUAUUUUCCUAUCAAA